UGCAAUUAUUCUGGAAUCUUGGGUGCG
rnacentral:piRNA from 1 species